rnacentral:rRNA from 1 species
GACGAACCUUGCUAACGUUAUUCGGAAUUACUGGGCUUAAAGGGUGCGUAGGCGGUGCAGAAAGUUGGGUGUGAAAUCCCUCGGCUCAACCGAGGAAUUGCGCCCAAAACUGUUGCACUAGAGGAAGACAGAGGUACGCGGAACUUAGGGUGGAGCGGUGAAAUGCGUAGAGAUCCGGAAGAACACCGGUGGCGAAGGCGGUCUGCUGGGCAGUUGCUGACACUGAGGCGCGACAGCGUGGGGAGCAAACAGG